rnacentral:rRNA from 1 species
UACGUAGGGUCCGAGCGUUGUCCGGAAUUAUUGGGCGUAAAGGGCUCGUAGGCGGUUUGUCGCGUCGGGGAGUGAAAACUCAGGGCUCAACCCUGAGCGUGCUUCCGAUACGGGCAGACUAGAGGUAUGCAGGGGAGAACGGAAUUCCUGGUGUAGCGGUGGAAUGCGCAGAUAUCAGGAGGAACACCGGUGGCGAAGGCAGUUCUCUGGGCAUUACCUGACGCUGAGGAGCGAAAGCAUGGGGAGCGAACAGG